GACAGAGGAUGCAAGCGUUAUCCGGAAUGAUUGGGCGUAAAGCGUCUGUAGGUGGCUUUUCAAGUCCGCCGUCAAAUCCCAGGGCUCAACCCUGGACAGGCGGUGGAAACUACCAAGCUGGAGUACGGUAGGGGCAGAGGGAAUUUCCGGUGGAGCGGGUGAAAGUGACAUUGAGAUCGGAAAGAACACCAAGGCGAAAGCACUCUAGCUGGGCCGACACUGACACUGAGAGACGAAAGCUAGGG
rnacentral:rRNA from 1 species